rnacentral:lncRNA from 1 species
GGCUGAUGACUUCACAGCCUUUUUAUAUAAAAAAAAGUUUCCCCUCUUGAAGUUCUAAAAAGAGGAGCGUUUCUGCUCAACUCGUGCGAUGCUGAUGUUGUAGAAGUCUGAGGCCUGUGUCUCGCUAGGGAGGGGUCGCAGAAUCUGCACUUCGAGCUCGGCUGCGUGUGGAGAUCUGCUGGCGCUGCAGGGCAGGUGCUCUAGGCUCUGUGCUACCAGACUCCGCUGCGCAAAGGUCACCGUGGUCAGGAGACGGCGCAGCUCUCGCGGCCUGACUCACUCUUUCCGCCUGACCCGCUCCCGCCGCCGCCGGGGACAUGGCCAACAACACGCACGGCUCCGCGGCCCCUCCCAGUGAGUUCCUUUCCUCUUCUCUUCUGAACCCCCCCCCGGCGAACAUGCCAGCACCAGGAUCGCCGCAGUGGACCUGCGGCAGGCCGAGAAGACGUGUCGGGUCCACACUGGCCUUUGCAAGAGAUUGCAAGGAGGGGCUGCUGGUUAUUGUUGGCUCUGGCCGACGGCUGGGUGCCCUGUCUCUGACAGGUAGCUAUGGGGGGUGGGGUGGGGGACUUGCCCUUCCUUCCUGCAUGGAAACUAGAUCUAGGCUGGCAGCCUGGCUAUGAGCAAGAGCCCAAAGCUUCGUUAAUGAAGACAUGGUAAUUAACAGGAUUUGUUCAUGAUUCUGUACUUGCUGGAGUAUGUACACAGACCGGGUUUGGGGAGAGACCACCCAGGCCCCUGUGAGUGCAGUAAGGAACCUUGUGUGUUUGUUUGGAGUUGCUCCGGCUUGCCUACUUUACACCAGUGUCGAUCUGUUAUCCUCUCUGCCUUCUUUCCAGAAGGUGGAGAUUUGACGGAGGCACAUUACAUCCUCAUCGGCAUCUCCGCCUUCACUGUGGUGGCCAUCGCCCUGCUGGUGGUGCUCUGGCUGAGGAAGUACCGUGCCUUGAUGCGCACCAUCCAGAACCUUCAGAGAACGGGCUGUUUUGUCAAUGUCCCCCCCUCAGACGCCCCCACGCCGCACAGCACCUCGCUGGACACCCUGGAAGAGGACCCUGUCCAGACGGGCCAGCAGACGCCUGCGGAGAGGCAGAAAUCCAAGUCUUUGAGCAGGUCGAUAUGGAGGCCACCACAACCAGGACCCCGCUUCACGAAGGCGGACCUAAACCUCAUGCAGAUCAUCAAGGCUGGGAAGGAGGGCGUCUUCUACAAGGCCAGGAUGAAUCGUGGGACCUGCAAAGGCCACUCGUUCUUCACCUGCAAGAUCUCGAAAGAAGGUGUCAGCCCCAAACGAGUGGAGACGGAGGUGUCCAUCAUGAGGAAGCUGGGGCACCACAAGAACGUCCUGCAGCUCCUGGACUGGAACACGAGCCAGGGUGAGGUGGUGGGGCGGGGU